CGAGGAUACAACAUGUUUACAAACUCACACCAGACCAAAACAUGCAGCCCAUUUGUUAGUUUUAAUAAUACGUCGAGUUUUCACUCUACAUAGGUACGUUUUACAUUGACAGUAAUUUUUUAAUAGAUAAAAUAAAAAUCAAGACAAGUCACAUAAACACUGCUCCAAAUUGAUUCAUUUCUUUGAGGACAAGAAUUUAAAUAAGCUACUGUUUUGUCACUGACUCUUGAUGGGUUUUGGUCACUGUCUGGCACUGGCUGUCUUGGCAUGGGGGCAAUGGGACCCUGGAUAGUCUCUAUGCCCAGUUCAUAAAGACAGACCUAAAUAUGAAAAGUCAUUGGAUCUAUUUACCCUCAAUAUGACCUUUCAACAAAGUUCCAUUACACAGACAUGCCAAAGGUGAAUGAUCUUAAAGACUAAAAAUUUUGCCAGAUAAUUUUUGUCAGUGCUGAAGGUGCAAUGGUGAGAUGAAAAAACAGGAGGAAAUAGUUUUAUACAGAGCUGUUUUAUUAUGACUAAAUCAAAAACAGACACUGUGUCUGUGGUGCUGAACAGUCUUAAAUCUGAACUGACUGGUUUCACUAAAGGUGUAAGCACCUGAUGCAUUUUUGUUUUAUUAUCACUGCUUUCGCAUUCUUAGGUAUUUUGUUUUUGUUUUUUGGUUUCAAUAUGAGUAGUCAUGUUGUAUAAAAGUCUGUAAAGUGAUAAGCUCAAGUUUAGUCAUGACUUAAGAGAAGACGAGAUAGCACAGCCGCUGUGAUACAAUACAAGACCAGGUGGGAAAAUGUCCAGCGAGUGCUCCUGGAGAGAAGUCUGUUGUAUACUAUUCUGUUGCCCAUGUUACUGCUGCUAUAUAUGUUGUAAGUAUGAUCCAGAAUCACUUGCAUACUUUUAAAGACCCAACUUGACAGUUCUUAUCAAGCACUAUUUUGGUUGUGUGUUGAUAGAGAUAUACAGUAUGUCUGAGUUUUUUUUUUAUUUUUUAAAAUCUAUUUCCAGUUUUGGUAACCUAAAUAGAUUUGUUUAUUUCUUUCUGAAAAAAAAUAUGCAAAUGACGAUUUGGAGUGUAAGUGUGCAUUUGGUCAAAUAUUCUAUUUUCCUCUAAAGAGUUGCUAAUAUACUAAGCUCUUAUUGUGUUUCUGUAUCAAAGGUUUACAUGUGAAUACAUUUUAAAAUAAAACUGGUGCUAAUGGCAUCUGUCAUGGGAAUUGUAUUUACUGUUCAUUUAUUAUUUAUUUAUUUGUCACCUUCCUAUAGGUUUGGAAGAGUCUAAACCGCAAACCCGCACAGUGACUACACAGUCACGUAGGCCAGAGCCAGGCAAGAUAAUGUUUUGAUACAUCUUCAUUGUGGAAUAUGAGAGACAACAGCAAAAUGUAGUUAAUGGAGUGAGGAUUGUGCAACAUGAACACGCUGUGGCUGCAGUUGACCAUCAAGGAAACAUGGUUGUGAUGGGACUCGAGCAAGUUUCACUUCGCUGAAUGUCUGCUGGGAAAUAAUGUGCAAAAAACUUUGAGAAUCUGCUGUGUUGUGUUUGAUACCUUUAAUACUGAAAGCUAAAGAUCGCCCAACUAUAGGAAUAAUUCUAAACAAAACUGUCCCUUGUUUAUUAGUUUAAAUAGAACUGUUAGGAUUAAUACAUUUUAGCCAGUUUAGCAUAAGUAUAGUUUUAGCUGUAAAGACAGUGGCUCACAUUUAUAGAGGAGCACAUCCGGCAGUCUGGUACUGUUCAUCUUUCUAUGAAAGUGUAGAAAGUAUAAACGAUGCAUACUGCUAAUGGACAUGAUCUGGUCUCACGAUAUGUGUGCCAGCCUACAACUUACUCAAGACAGUGAACACGACUGUAUUAUAGUGAGAGAUUGUUCAAUCUGAGGAUUACCACACUAACAGAAGUAUUUACCCAUUUUCUUUUCUUUCAUUCAUUUAUUUAUAUAACCACUUAAAUCCAAUAUUUGGAACUCUCAUGCAGAUAUAUAUAAUAGUAGUGUUUAUUGUGUUUGGCAUGGAUUCAUAUUUACACAGUGAGGAUUUUUUUUAAAUAAACUUCCUGCAAAUAUAUUUAAAAAUCUAUAAUAGUCUUAAUCAGGGUGAGCCCAUGAAUGAACAGACAGAACAUUGUCUUGUGUUUAUAAUAAGCUCAAUGUGUGCAAAGGCAGGCCUAUUUCACAAAUCCUCUACUAGUUUACCUGUUUAGUACUGCGAUGUAUUUCCUACUGCC